rnacentral:lncRNA from 1 species
UUGAAAUGAAAUUGAAUUAAAAAGGAUUAUGAAAUGGUGAUGACAUGAAAUAGUCUUGUUUGAAAUAAUGUGAAGUUUGUAAUUGGAAGUAGUUAAUCAAUUUCUUUUUAACAAAAUUAAUUUAUUAAAAUUUGAUUAAAUUGAUUAAUUAAAUUAAUUAAAAUUAAUUAUCAAAAUUAUUUAACUAAAUUAAAUAAUUAAGUUAAUUAAAAUUGAUUAAUAGAAAUUAAACUAAUUAAAGAUUUUAAUCAAUUAAUUAAGUUCAAAGAGAAAAAAA